rnacentral:rRNA from 1 species
UACGUAGGGCGCAAGCGUUAUCCGGAAUUAUUGGGCGUAAAGAGCUCGUAGGCGGUUUGUCGCGUCUGCCGUGAAAGUCCGGGGCUCAACUCCGGAUCUGCGGUGGGUACGGGCAGACUAGAGUGAUGUAGGGGAGACUGGAAUUCCUGGUGUAGCGGUGAAAAUGCGCAGAUAUCAGGAGGAACACCGAUGGCGAAGGCAGGUCUCUGGGCAGUAACUGACGCUGAGGAGCGAAAAGCGUGGGGAGCGAACAGG